rnacentral:rRNA from 1 species
UACGGAGGGUGCGAGCGUUAUCCGGAUUCACUGGGUUUAAAGGGUGCGUAGGUGGGCAUUUAAGUCAGUGGUGAAAUCUCCGGGCUUAACCCGGAAACUGCCAUUGAUACUAUUUGUCUUGAAUACCGUGGAGGUGAGCGGAAUAUGUCAUGUAGCGGUGAAAUGCUUAGAUAUGACAUAGAACACCAAUUGCGAAGGCAGCUCACUACACGGACUAUUGACACUGAGGCACGAAAGCGUGGGGAUCAAACAGG